rnacentral:rRNA from 1 species
GCCAGCAGCCAUAUCACCCUGCAACUCACAACUGGCAUCCCACUGAAGCUAAGCAGGUGUGAGCCUGGUCAGUACCUGGAUGGUACUGGGAAAAACUAAGGUUGCUGCUGGAA